AAAAAAAGAAGUCAGUGAGGGAGAAAGUGCGAAAACUUUUGGUUUUACUUUUCCAAAAGCCCCAAGUAAUGGGAAAGAAAAACAUAAGGAAUGGCAUGAUGAGAUCUCAGUGGGAUUUCAUUUGUAACUGGUUCCA
ensembl:ncRNA C06E4.17 ncRNA